AGGCCGCGGGCAGCGAUGGGGGCGCGGACCGGAAAGAGGGUUCGUCUCUGCGCAGCACCCCAAAAGACUCUGCCCCGCCCCAGUAUCCUUCCUCAGUCUCGGCCCGUGAUUGUGUCCCCUCGGCUUGAUCCUGGGUAGGUGCUGGGAGUGGAAGGUGUCCUGAAAUUAGAAACAGGAGUCUGGCCGGAGCAGUUGGCCCCCUUUGAUUUGGACCUAACUCUACGCGGAAGUAGAUUCAUUUAUUCAUUCAACUUGAUGAAUUCUGGUGGGCAGAGUGAAAACUGAAGAUUGGCCCGGAGACAGUGCCACUAUUGAGCCUUAACUUUGUUCCAAGGAACAUUGUGACCUGACCUAGGUGGACAGCUGCAAGAACAAAGGAUUCCUACACCAAGAAGUGUGCAACAAACAACCAUGCCCCUCCCUCAUCUGGCCUUUAAAAAUGCUUUGCUGACUAUUUACAAUAGCCAGGACAUGGAAGCAGCCUAUGUGUCCAUCGACAGAUGAAUGGAU